rnacentral:rRNA from 1 species
UACGGAGGAUGCGAGCGUUAUCCGGAUUUAUUGGGUUUAAAGGGUGCGUAGGCGGCCUGCCAAGUCAGCGGUAAAAUUGCGGGGCUCAACCCCGUACAGCCGUUGAAACUGCCGGGCUCGAGUGGGCGAGAAGUAUGCGGAAUGCGUGGUGUAGCGGCGAAAUGCAUAGAUAUCACGCAGAACCCCGAUUGCGAAGGCAGCAUACCGGCGCCCUACUGACGCUGAGGCACGAAAGUGCGGGGAUCAAACAGG